rnacentral:rRNA from 1 species
UACGUAGGUGGCAAGCGUUGUCCGGAAUUAUUGGGCGUAAAGCGCGCGCAGGCGGUCCUUUAAGUCUGAUGUGAAAGCCCACGGCUCAACCGUGGAGGGUCAUCGGAAACUGCCGGGCUUGAGUGUGGGAGAGGUGAGUGGAAUUCCUGGUGUAGCGGUGAAAUGCGUAGAUAUCAGGAGGAACACCUGUGGCGAAAGCGGCUCACUGGACCAUAACUGACGCUGAUGCACGAAAGCUAGGGGAGCAAACAGG